rnacentral:tRNA from 1 species
GGCCGAGUAGCUCAGUUGGUAGAGCAGGGGACUGAAAAUCCCCGUGUCGGCGGUUCGAUUCCGUCCUCGGCCACCA